rnacentral:rRNA from 1 species
UAGGGAAUCUUCGGCAAUGGACGAAAGUCUGACCGAGCAACGCCGCGUGAGUGAAGAAGGUUUUCGGAUCGUAAAACUCUGUUGGUAGAGAAGAACGUUGGUGAGAGUGGAAAGCUCAUCAAGUGAUGGUAACUACCCAGAAAGGGACGGCUAACUACGUGCCAG